AGGAGCCGUGCGAGAUGAAAGUCUCAUGCACGGUUUUGCAUGAGAGAAAGAAGCGAGGAAUCCACUUUUCAACUCUGAC
rfam:Triticum urartu cultivar G1812 contig818997, whole genome shotgun sequence.